AGAGUUUGAUCCUGGCUCAGGAUUAACGCUGGCGGCAUGCCUAAUACAUGCAAGUCGAACGGAUGUACUUGUACAUCAGUGGCGAACGGGUGAGUAAUAUAUAGGUAACUUACCCCUAAGUCUGGUAUAACUACUGGAAACGGUUCGUAAUACCGGGUAGGAUAUUUACACACAUGUGUUUAUAUUUAAAGGUGCCUUCAAGCAUCGCUUAGGGAGAGGCCUGUAUCGCAUUAGCUAGUUGGUGAGGUAACGGCUCACCAAGGCGACGAUGCGUAACUGUGCUGAGAGGCAAAACAGUCACAUUGGAACUUAGACACGGUCCAAACUCCUACGGGAGGCAGCAGUAGGGAAUUUUCGGCAAUGGGGGCAACCCUGACCGAGCAAUGCCGCGUGAAUGAAGAAGAUCUUCGGAUUGUAAAAUUCUGUUAUUGGGGAAGAAAAAUAUGCAUAGGAAAUGAUGUAUAUCUGACGGUACCUGAUGAGGAAGCCCCGGCUAACUAUGUGCCAGCAGCCGCGGUAAUACAUAGGGGGCAAGCGUUAUCCGGAAUUAUUGGGCGUAAAGCGUGCGUAGGCGGUUUAUUAAGUCUGAUGUGAAAGCCCACAGCUUAACUGUGGAAUGUCAUUGGAAACUGGUAAACUAGAGUACGGUAGAGGUAAGUGGAAUUCCAAGUGGAGCGGUGGAAUGCGUAGAGAUUUGGAGGAACACCAGUGGCGAAGGCGGCUUACUGGGCCGGAACUGACGCUGAGGCACGAAAGCGUGGGGAGCAAACAGGAUUAGAUACCCUGGUAGUCCACGCCGUAAACG
rnacentral:rRNA from 1 species